rnacentral:rRNA from 1 species
UACGGGGGGGGGCAAGCGUUGUUCGGAAUUACUGGGCGUAAAGGGCUCGUAGGCGGCCAACUAAGUCAGACGUGAAAUCCCUCAGCUUAACUGGGGAACUGCGUCUGAUACUGGAUGGCUUGAGUUCGGGAGAGGGAUGCGGAAUUCCAGGUGUAGCGGUGAAAUGCGUAGAUAUCUGGAGGAACACCGGUGGCGAAGGCGGUUCUCUGGGCCGAUACUGACGCUGAGGAGCGAAAGCCAGGGGAGCGAACGGG